rnacentral:rRNA from 1 species
GACGAACCGUACGAACGUUAUUCGGAAUUAUUGGGCGUAAAGCGUCCGCAGGUGGCUGUGUAAGUCUGCUGUUAAAGAGCAAAGCUUAACUUUGUAAAAGCAGUGGAAACUACACAGCUAGAGUGCGUUCGGGGCAGAGGGAAUUCCUGGUGUAGCGGCGAAAUGCGUAGAGAUCAGGAAGAACACCGGUGGCGAAGGCGCUCUGCUAGGCCGCAACUGACACUGAGGGACGAAAGCUAGGGGAGCGAAUGGG